rnacentral:misc_RNA from 1 species
GACGAACCGGACAAACGUUAUUCGGAAUUAUUGGGCUUAAAGGGUGCGUAGGCGGCCAUGAAAGUUGGGUGUGAAAGCCCUCGGCUCAACCGAGGAACUGCGAUCAAAACUGCAUGGCUUGAGUGAGGCAGAGGUGAGCGGAACUUGCGGUGGAGCGGUGAAAUGCGUUGAUAUCGCAAGGAACACCAGUGGCGAAGGCGGCUCACUGGGCCUUUACUGACGCUGAGGCACGAAAGCUAGGGUAGCGAACGGG